rnacentral:rRNA from 1 species
GACGAACCGUCCAAACGUUAUUCGGAAUCACUGGGCUUACAGAGUUCGUAGGCGGGCUGUCAAGUCUGGGGUGAAAUCCCGCGGCUCAACCGUGGAACUGCCUCAGAUACUGACGGCCUCGAGGGAGAUAGGGGCGAGCGGAACUAAUGGUGGAGCGGUGAAAUGCGUUGAUAUCAUUAGGAACUCCGGUGGCGAAGGCGGCUCGCUGGAUCUUUUCUGACGCUGAGGCGCGAAAGCUAGGGGAGCAAACGGG